UAAGCGUGUAAUGUUUUGUUUGCGGCUAGGGAAAAAUAAAAAAAUCGAACAGUCAAAGUGCAGGACUCUUCGUUGCUUCCUGCUCUUUUAAAUUCUGCUAGUGGUUGACUAAUGGAUCAUUGGCUGCUGUGCCUUGUAAUGGUGAACUAUUUAUGAAGCUCACUCAGCCGUCAUACCCACCGCUGAUAAAGGCGCAUCUCCACGGAAGUUCUAAAGCAUGGUUAAUUGGAAAGGAUGCCGAAAGACAGCGGCCACAAUCAGCGCCGCCAUAUACGAACAUCAACACUCUUCACCAGCAGCAACACUUAUGCCAGAAACUAAUAACCAGGUUAUUGGUUCCUGCUUAUGCUACGUUUAGACAAGGCAAGUGAAUUGAGCAAGUCGCUUGAAUCAAACGCGAAUUGAACGUGUAAACACCUUAAUUCACAUCACUUGAACGAAAAGAAAGUUGAACAUGUUCAACUUUUGGCAAGUCAAUUGAAUUCAACUGAGUUGUUGCGUUAUGCUACGUUUUGACACGGCAAGUGAAUUGAACAACUCAGUUGAAUUCAAUUGACUUGCCAAAAGAACAUGUUCAACUUUUUUUUUCCGUUCAAGUGAAUUGAAUUAGGUGCCUGCCAGAGUAGACGCGUCUACGCGACGCGGCGCGAAAAUUACACACAAAGGAAUAACAAUCAAUAAUAAGGAGCUGUCAAAUCGUAUGGACGCUUCGCUUCGCUUCGCACUUCGCGUCUACUCUGGCCGCACCCUUAGGGUGUUUACACGUUCAGUUCGCGUUCGAUUCAAGCGACUUGCUCAAUUUAAUUGCCUUGUCUAAACGUAGCAUUACGGCAUGGCCAAUGAGAAGCUAUGAAGAGCGCUCAACAAUAGAAUAAAAUAUAUAAAUCUAAAAUUCAAAUUAAAUUUCAAAUCAAAGUAAUAAAAUAAACCGUAAAGCAAUUAA